rnacentral:rRNA from 1 species
AGCGAACGUUAGCGGCAGGCUUAACACAUGCAAGUCGAGCGAGAACGGGGCUUCGGUCCUUAGUAAAGCGGCGGACGGGUGAGUAACACGUAGGUAAUCUUCCCUUGAGCGGGGGACAACGUCCCGAAAGGGACGCUAAUACCGCAUACGUUCUUUUGGUCUUCGGACUGGGAGAGGAAAGCUAGGCCGCAAGGUCCGGCAACCGAGGAGGAGCCGGCGUCGCAUCAGCUAGUUGGUGGGGUAAUGGCCUACCAAGGCAGAGACGCGUAGCUGGUCUGAGAGGAUGAUCAGCCACACUGAAACUGAGACACGGUUCAGACUCCUACGGGAGGCAGCAGUGGAGAAUAUUGGACAAUGGGCGCAAGCCUGAUCCAGCCAUGCCGCGUGAGUGAUGAAGGCCUUCGGGUCGUAAAGCUCCGUGGGGAGGGACGAACCGCCAAGGGUGCAUAGCCCGUGGCAUGACGGUACCUCCUUAGCAAGCACCGGCUAACUUCGUGCCAGCCGCCGCAGUAA